rnacentral:sRNA from 2 species
GAGGAGAGGAUAUGUUCAUGUGUGCACUAAUACACAUGCAUUGUUUGAUGUGCGGAGAAGUGACAUGAUUUUCACCAUAUGCACAGUCAUCCCGUGCAUAUGAUGCUUCGUUCAGGUUGCAUAUACAUGUACUUUUAUGUACUAUGCUUGUUGCGGACCAGAGAAAUGCCUCUUUUGUAGGAUUGGACAAGACAAAGCUUGAACGGUGGGAUAUCUUGGUGUGCAGCUUUUGCUUGACCAGCAGCGAACCGCCUUGUCAAUGGCAUAAGGUGCGGUGGCGACCUGUGGAUGUGACGGGUAGCACAGCAGCUGCGUGGUCCUUUAGAAGAUC